rnacentral:rRNA from 1 species
CUCAGCAUUAUUACUGUCUUGUGUCCUGAGUUUGUCAGAUCUCUGAGCUAAACAAGGCUGGGUCUGGUCAGUACUGGGAUGGGAGACCACCAAGGAAUUCCAGGUUGUGGCUGCAA